GUGGUAGCUCAGUUGGUAGAGUGUUAAACUCAUAAUUCAAGGGCUGUGGGUUCAAUUCUUGCCAAGGCUA